rnacentral:rRNA from 21 species
ACCUGGUUGAUCCUGCCAGAAAUGAUAUGCUUGGUUGAACGAUUAAGCCAUGCACAUGUAAGAGUGUCUCUUCGGGGACGGUCAGUAAAUGGCUCAUUAUACAGAGGCUUAGCAAAGGGGGGGAUGGAUGCUGAAAGGUGUCUGAAGAAGGAUAACCAUUCAAAAUGGAUGGAUAAUACUUGGAGAGCGGGGUGCUGGGUGACUGGUAGCCUGGGAAAGAGUGUUGUCGACGAGAGUUGGCUGGUGAAUCAAGUCUUUUGGAGAAAGCCCGCGGAAAGAUGUGGGCAGUCCCUCGUGCAGCCUUUAUCUAUCAGCUUUAGACGGUAGUGUAGAGGACUACGGUGGCGGUAACGGAUACGGAGAAUUAGGGUUCGAUUCCGGAGAGUGAGCCUGAGAAACGGCUGACACUUCUAAGGAAGGCAGCAGGCGCGUAAUUUCCCCAAUGAUGUCGUGUCGAGGGAGGGAAUAACAAUAUGAAAGAGGGGGGCACAUGUCUUCUUCUAUUCAAAUGAGGGAAUGGUAAAUAAAUUCCUGAGGAACAAGUGGAGGGAAAGUCUGGUGCCAGCAGCCGCGGUAACUCCAGCUCCAUGAGUGUAUAUUUUGGGUGUUGCUGUUAAAAAGUUCGUAGUCUGUGGAGGGAGAGGAGGGGGGAAGCGUGGCCUGAUUGAAAAAGCGCGUGGAAGGCGAGAGCUGGAAGCGGGUGGCGACGGUAGUACCGGUCUCCUCUGGUGACAGAGUGUGUGGGGGGAAGGAAGGGGGGGAGGGGAGCGGGUUGUCGCUGGCUGUGUGCUGGGGGCGAGCUGCUGCUGUGCAGAAGUGUUGUUCUGAGAUUCCCGCCCGUGUUUUGCGAACUUCCGGCCUGCACGUGGACCUUGCGAAAAUGGGAGUGAUCAAAACAGCUCUUUUUGUUUGAAGGAGCAUUGAACUUUGACGUGAGGAAUGUGAGAAGAGGGGUUGUGAAGACGAGUGUUGCGCUUGUUCUGAGUGACUAAUGAGCAAGAGGACCGGUCGGGGGGAUGGGUAUAACUAGGGGAGAGGUGAAAUUCAGUGAUCCUGGUUAGACGAACGAGAGCGAAGGCACUUCCCAAGCACGGAUCCAUUGAUCAAGAACGAAAGUUAGAGGAGAGAAGAUGAUCAGAUACCGUCGUAUUUCUAACAGUAAACGAUGCCGGUUAAGGGGAGAGGGAGGAAUGAAAUGGGAGGAGAGGGGGGUGCGGUCGGGUGUGCAAACACAUGGCCGUUGCUUGCCUCUUCUGCUGGUGCCUUGCUCUUUACUUUAGAGAAAUUAAAACGUUUGGGUUCAGGGGGGAGUAUGUUCGCAAGAAUGAAACUUAAAGGAAUUGACGGAAGGGCACCACCAGGCGUGGAGCUUGCGGCUUAAUUUGACUCAACACGGGGAAACUUACCAGGGCAAGACAUUGGGAGGAUCGUCAGCUUGAAGAGCUUACGAGAUUCAAUGAUUGGUGGUGCAUGGCCGUUCUUAGUUGGUGGAGUGAUUUGUCUGGUUUAUUCCGUUAACGAGCGAGAUCGACGCUUGCUAAGUAGGGGGGGGAAGGGGUGUGAGGGGGGGGGUUGGGAAAGGGGUUCGUCCUCUUGUUCAGCCCGCUCCUUUUGUUGGUCGAGGGUGGUUUGGUUCGGUGGAAGGGGUGAAACCUGGAAGCUGACCAGACCAAACUUGGCUGGACACUGGUCUUUCUUGCUUCGCCUUUGUGGCGAAGGCCUCUUCUUAGAAGGACUCUUGAGGAAAACUCGAGGGAAGCUGUCGGCAAUAACAGGUCUGUUAUGCCCUUCGAUGUUCUGGGCGGCACGCGUGCUACAAUGGGGGGGAGAAAGAGUGAGGGGGGGGCGGGGGCGGCGGUGACGUCGGCUCGGUCCUCCUGGUGCCUGUUCAGAAGUGGACGGGAAAUCUUUGGGAAUCCCCUCCGUGAUUGGGAUUGACCAUUGAAAUUGUUGGUCAUGAACGAGGAAUGCCUUGUAAUUGCAACUCAUCAGGUUGCGAUGAAUAUGUCCCUGCCCUUUGUACACACCGCCCGUCGCUUCUACUGAUGAAACAAAUGAUGAGGGGCUGGGACUGACUGACUGUGAAAGCGGUUGGAUGGGAACUACCUCGAAUCCCUUGUUUUAGAGGAAGAAGAAGUCGUAACAAGGUAUCCGUAGGGGAACCUGCGGAUGGAUCAUU